rnacentral:rRNA from 1 species
UACAGAGACUGCAAGCGUUAUUCGGAUUCACUGGGCGUAAAGGGUGCGCAGGCGGCCGUGUGUGUGAGGCGUGAAAGCCCGGGGCUUAACCCCGGAAUUGCACCUCAAACUACACGGCUAGAGCAUUGGAGAGGGUAGCAGAAUUCAUGGUGUAGCGGUGAAAUGCGUAGAUAUCAAGAGGAACACCUGAGGUGAAGACGGGUUGCUGGGCUGACACUGACGCUGAGGCGCGAAAGCCAGGGGAGCAAACGGG